rnacentral:rRNA from 1 species
AGAGCGAACGCUGGCGGCAGGCCUAACACAUGCAAGUCGAGCGCCCCGCAAGGGGAGCGGCAGACGGGAGAGUAACACGUGGGAACGUACCCUUCAGUUCGGAACAACCCAGGGAAACUUGGGCUAAUACCGAAUACGUCCGUAAGGAGAAAGAUUUAUCGCUGAAGGAUCGGCCCGCGUCUGAUUAGCUAGUUGGUGGGGUAAUGGCCCACCAAGGCGACGAUCAGUAGCUGGUCUGAGAGGAUGAUCAGCCUCAUUGGGACUGAGACACGGCCCAAACUCCUACGGGAGGCAGCAGUGGGGAAUAUUGGACAAUGGGCGCAAGCCUGAUCCAGCCAUGCCGCGUGAGUGAAGAAGGCCUUCGGGUUGUAAAGCUCUUUUGUCCGGAAAGAAAGCUCUCGGCUAAUACCCGGGAGUUCUGACGGUACCGGAAGAAUAAGCACCGGCUAACUUCGUGCCAGCAGCCGC